rnacentral:misc_RNA from 1 species
UCCCCGUUACCGGGGCAGUCUGAAUAGAAAAAUACAACUAUUCACAAGGGUUGCGCUCGUUGAUGGACUUAACCAAACAUCUCACGACACGAGCUGACGACGGCCAUGCAACACCUGUCACCUUGCUCAAUAAAGCACUCUCUGCUUUCGCAGUGAUUCAAGGGAUGUCAAGCCCUGGUAAGGUUCUUCGUUUAUCAUCGAAUUAAAGAACACGCUCCACCGCUUGUGCGGGUCCCCGUCAAUUCCUUUAUGUUUUAGUCUUGCGACCGUACUCCACAGGCGGGAUACUUAACGCGUUAGCUUCGCUACUGAAGGGGUCGAUACCUCCAACAGCUAGUAUCCAUAGUUUACGGCGUGGACUAC